CCAGACUCCUACGGGAGGCAGCAGUGGGGGAUAUUGCACAAUGGGGGGAACCCUGAUGCAGCGACGCCGCGUGGGUGAAGGAGUGCUUCGGCAUGUAAAGCCCUAUCGGCAGGGAAGAAGCAAGACGGUACCUGACUAAGAAGCCCCGGCUAACUACGUGCCAGCAGCCGCGGUAAUACGUAGGGGGCAAGCGUUAUCCGGAUUUACUGGGUGUAAAGGGAGCGUAGACGGUUACGCAAGUCUGGAGUGAAAGGCGGGGGCCCAACCCCCGGACUGCAUUGGAAACUGUUAGGCUGGAGUGUCGGAGAGGUAAGCGGAAUUCCUAGUGUAGCGGUGAAAUGCGUAGAUAUUAGGAGGAACACCAGUGGCGAAGGCGGCUUACUGGACGACAACUGACGCUGAGGCUCGAAAGCGUGGGGAGCAAACAGGAUUAGAUACCCGCGUAU
rnacentral:rRNA from 1 species